UAGGAGGCAAGCGUUAUCCGGAAUGACUGGGCGUAAAGGGUGCGUAGGUGGUUUGGCAAGUUAGUAGCGUAACCCCGGGGCUCAACCUCGGAACUACUACUAAAACUGUCGGACUUGAGUGCAGGAGGGGCAAUUGGAAUUCCUAGUGUAGCGGUGGAAUGCGUAGAUAUUAGGAGGAACACCAGUGGCGAAGGCGAAUUGCUGGACUGUAACUGACACUGAGGCACGAAAGCGUGGGGAGCAAA
rnacentral:rRNA from 1 species